rnacentral:rRNA from 1 species
AGUGGCGGACGGGUGAGUAACGCGUGGGUAACCUGCCUCAUACAGGGGGAUAACAGUUAGAAAUGACUGCUAAUACCGCAUAAGACCACAGCACCGCAUGGUGCGGGGGUAAAAACUCCGGUGGUAUGAGAUGGACCCGCGUCUGAUUAGCUGGUUGGUAAGGUAACGGCUUACCAAGGCGACGAUCAGUAGCCGACCUGAGAGGGUGACCGGCCACAUUGGGACUGAGACACGGCCCAA